ensembl:lncRNA
CCUCAAUGAAAUGAUGAAAUAUACAGACCACAAAUUCCAAUUGGCUGUAGUUACUCUGUUAUAUUCCCCAGUAUUUGGAACCAAGGACUGAUCACCCCAAUCCACAAAAGUGGAGACACAUUUGACCCCAAUAACCACCGUGGGAUAUGUAUCAACAGCAACCUUGGGAAAAUCCUCCUCAUUAUCAUUAACAGCAGACUCGAAGUCAUCUCAUGCUUUUGACUGAACUUGGCAUGAGGGUCUGCUAUACAAACUGAUGGAAAGGGGUGUUGUGGGAAAAACAUACAACAUUAUAAAAUCCAUGUACACAAACAACAAGUGUGCGGUUAAAAUGGGCUAAAAACAAACACAUUUCUUUCCACAGGACAGAAAUGCAGCUUAAUCAAUAAAUAUAUAAACAAAAAAAAACACAAAAAAAAUAUAUAAACAAAAAAACAAAUGUUCUCUCAUUGUCAACUGCGUUUAUUUUCAGCAAAUUUAACAUGUGUAAAUAUUUGUAUGAACAUAACAAGAUUCAACAACUGAGACAUAAACUGAACAAGUUCCACAGACAUGUGACUAACAGAAAUGGAAUAAUGUGUCCCUGAACAAAGGGGGGGGUGGUCAAAAUCAAAAGUAACAGUCAGUAUCUGGUGUGGCCACCAGCUGCAUUAAGUACUGCAGUGCAUCUCCUCCUCACGGACUGCACCAGAACGAACAGUUCUUGCUGUGAGAUGUCACCCCACCCUUCCACCUUGGCACCUGCAAGUUCCCGGACAUUUCUGGGGGGAAUGGCCCUAGCCCUCACCCGGAUUGAGAUCCGGGCUCUUCGCUGGCCAUGGCAGAACACUGACAUUCCUGUCUUGCAGGAAAUCACGCACAGAACUAGCAGUAUGGUUGGUGGCAUUGUCAUGCUGGAGGGUCAUAUCAGGAUGAGCCUGCAGGAAGGGUACCACAUGAGGGAGGAGGAUGUCUUCCCUGUAACGCACAGCGUUGAGAUUUCCUGCAAUGACAAUAAGCUCAGUCCAAUGAUGCUGUGACACACCACCUCAGACCAUGACGGACCCUCCACCUCCAAAUAGAUCCCGCGCCCAUAGGCAACGUUACUGCCGAUUAUAUCUGGUGGGGACCUGCCUUAAGACAGGCCUACAAGCCC